ACACGUAGGUGACCUGCCCCAAAGAGGGGGAUAACUACUGGAAACGGUAGCUAAUACCCCAUGUGAUCCUUUGGAUUGGAUGACAGAGGAUGAAAGCUCCGGCGCUUUGGGAGGGACCUGCGUCCCAUCAGCUAGUUGGUAGGGUAAUGGCCUACCAAGGCAAAGACGGGUAGGGGGCGUGAGAGCGUGACCCCCCACACUGGCACUGAUACACGGGCCAGACUCCUACGGGAGGCAGCAGUGAGGAAUAUUGCACAAUGGGCGAAAGCCUGAUGCAGCAACGCCGCGUGGAUGAUGAAUGCCUUCGGGUUGUAAAAUCCUUUUCUGGAGGAAGAGUAAGGACGGUACUCCAGGAAUAAGCGUCGGCUAACUACGUGCCAGCAGCCGCGGUAAAACGUAGGACGCGAGCGUUAUCCGGAUUUACUGGGCGUAAAGCGCGUGCAGGCGGUAUGGUAAGUCGGACGUGAAAGCUCCCGGCUCAACUGGGAGAGGUCGUUCGAAACUGCCGUACUUGAGGACGGUAGAGGAGAGUGGAAUUCCGGGUGUAGUGGUGGAAUGCGUAGAUAUCCGGAGGAACACCAGUGGCGAAGGCGGCUCUCUGGGCCGGUCCUGACGCUAAGACGCGAAAGCUAGGGUAGCAAACGGGAUUAGAAACCCCGGUAGUCCUAGCCGUAAACGAUGGAGACUA
rnacentral:rRNA from 1 species